rnacentral:tRNA from 1 species
GCGUUCGUUGUGUAAUGUGGAGCACACUUGACGCGUAUUCGAGAGGUCACAGGUUCGAAUCCUGGCGAGGGCA